GAAGUCUCUGACCAACAUCCUGAGGGAUGAGUUUUGAAUUUUUUAUGAAUCGUUUGAUCACCGAUUCAUAAAAAAUUCUUCCGCUACGGUAGAGUUGUGUUACGUUUUAGAUUUGGGUUGUAAUUUUUUCCUGUGUUUGGUAAAAACGAGUAAUUUUACACAAUUGCUGCUUAAACACAUUCGAACGUGCAUAAACAAAAGAUGCUGCAGAGGUCACAUCGCUUGACAAGGAACGAGCAACGCAAAUUGUUUUGACGAAUAAUGAUUCAGCAUUGAGUCUGCUGACUGUGCUUCCGCACGCACACACACAUCCACAUCAGCCUGUACCGGAUCCGUCGAACACAGCGAAAGGCAGAAGUGAAAAGAUUCCCGUGCAAACAGCACGCAAAAGAGCGUGGGUCGGAAAAGAACCCGAAAAUAUUCGUUUCUUUGGUUGUCGCGAGUGCGAGUAGAGUGCGUGGUGAAAAUUGUUCUUCGUCGGCGCGCGGGCUGCAAUUUCGGCGGUGAGUGGUGCCAAAACGACCGCCUUUCGAUCCGACGGAUAUCGGAAGAUUGCGGCAGUGUCCAAAAGAUCCGAAACGAAGAGAUCUGCAAACGGCCCGCUUGGAAACGGCGCGGCAAUCAAAAGAUUCUCGCCACACAAAGCGUACAUACCGGCAGCGAGAAGAGGUGCACGUGGAGAAUUGACGACGAUCAGCAGCACGAGAUCCGAUCGCACGGACAGCGCCCGGCCGCGGUGGAUCGUGGCAUCGAAAGACGAAGCCUUCAAAAGAAGGCUUUUGUUCCAUACUUUCAGCACCUCAUUGGAUCGGAUUGUCUCGUGAUCGUGACACGUGGUCAGUGUCGAAGCCCGCAUCACCUGCGGAACCCUCAGGCGAGGUUUAUUCUCCUCGGAGUGCUUGCGACAUCGAAGCGACGGGGCACGCCGCUAGCAACUAGUGGUCUCGACGGAAGCGACGUCCAACGUGGAGGGAAACGAACCCGCGAGCA